rnacentral:lncRNA from 10 species
AAACAAACAAACAAAAAUUAGCUUGCGUGGUGGCGUGUGCCUGUAAUCCUAGCUACCUGAGAGGCUGAGGCAGGAGAAUCACUUGAACCCGAGAGGCAGAGGUUGCAGUGAGCCAAGAUCAUGCCACUGCACUCCAGCCUGGGCGACAGAGCGAGACUCCGUCUCAAAAACAAACAAGCAAAAAAACACACAAGUACUGUACACUGAAUCUGUCCAAAGACAUAUCCUUUGAGAUUUCUCUUUUUUCUGUUUUCUCCAUCUCUGUGAAUGAGCUCACUGUUCAUCCCCAGCUACUCAAACUAGAAGCUCCGGAGUCAUCGGAAAUGCACAGCCUCGCCCCUCACAGCCCAGCUCCUUAGUCCUCAGACCCUGGUGACUCUAUUGCUUACAUCUUUUGAAAUGCCCUCUGCUCUUGCCGGUCCCCUUGCUCCUGCCUUUCUCAGACACCAUUGCUCUCCCGGAUGAUGGUGACAGCCUUGUCUAAGCUGAGGCUUAGACCCUCCAUGUCGCUGGGAGGAUGGUCUUCCUGAACAACUUUCAGGAAGCUUCCUGAGGGCUCCAAUGCCGCUGUCUCUGUCCUCUGAAUUCCUCCUGGCCUGUGAUCACC